rnacentral:rRNA from 1 species
AGAGUUUGAUCCUGGCUCAGGACGAACGCUUGCGGCGUGCCUAAGAAAUGCAGGUCGAACGGAUGGCAGUAAUGUCAUUAGUGGCGAACGGUCGCGUAACACGUAGGCAACCUGCCCAAAAGUGGGGGACAACAGCUUGAAAGAGCUGCUAAUACCGCAUGUGGCCCUUUGGUGGCAUCACCAUUGGUCUAAAGCUUAAUGCGCUUUUGGAUGGGCUUGCGGCCUAUCAGGUAGUUGGUGGGGUAAUGGCCUACCAAGCCGACGACGGGUAGCUGGUCUGAGAGGACGAUCAGCCGGAUUGGGACUGAGAUACGGCCCAGACUCCUACGGGGGGCAGCAAUUAGGAAUCUUGCGCAAUGGGGGCAACCCUGACGCAGCGACGCCGCGUGCGGGAUGAAGGCAUUCGUGUCGUAAACCGCUUUUUACGGGGAAGAAGAAUUUGACGGUACCCGUCGAAUAAGCCCCGGCUAACUACGUGCCAGCAGCCGCGGUAAUACGUAGGGGGCGAGCGUUGUCCGAAGUUACUGGGCGUAAAGCGCGCGUAGGCGGUCAUUUAAGUUCGGGGUGAAAGGUUCAACGCUCAACGUGAACAGUGCCUUGAAUACUGGGUGACUUGAGUUCGGGAGAGGGCAGUGGAAUUCCUGGUGUAGCGGUGAAAUGCGUAGAUAUCAGGAGGAACACCGAUGGCGAAGGCAGCUGCCUGGCCUAGAACUGACGCUGAGGUGCGAAAGCGUGGGGAGCGAACAGGAUUAGAUACCCUGGUAGUCCACGCCGUAAACGAUGAGUGCUAGGUGUUCGGGGUAUCGACCCCCCGGGUGCCGCCGCUAACGCAGUAAGCACUCCGCCUGGGGAGUACGGCCGCAAGGUUGAAACUCAAAGGAAUUGACGG